GUAGCUCAGUGGUAGAGCGAUCGGCUGUUAACUGAUUGGUUGUAGGUUUCUAUUGCAUUCUAUCUCA